rnacentral:rRNA from 1 species
AGAGUUUGAUCCUGGCUCAGGAUUAAUGCUAGCGACGUGCCUAAGGUAUGCAAGUCGAAUGCCGAUUUAUCGGCAUGGCAGACGGCUGAGUAAUACAUGGGAAUCUACCUCAAACUCGAGAAUAGCCCAUCGAAAGGUGGUGUAAUACUCGAUAGUUCCGUUUACGGUAAAGCUCCGGCGGUUUGAGAUGAGCCCAUGUCCUAUCAGGUUGUUGGUGGGGUAAUUGCCUACCAAGCCUAUGACGGGUAGCUGGUUUGAGAGGAUGAUCAGCCAGACUGGGACUGCGAUACGGCCCAGACUCCUACGGGAGGCAGCAACUAGGAAUCAUGCGCAAUGGACGAAAGUCUGACGCUGCGACGUCGCGUGAGGGAUGAAGGUCUUAGGAUCGUAAACCUCUUUUAUCUGGGAACAAGUUCUGAGUGUACCAGAUGAAUAAGUGCCUGCCAACCACGUGCCAGAAGCAUCGGUAAUGCGUGGGGCACGAGCGUUAUCCGGAUUUACUGGGCGUAAAGAGAUGCGUAGGCGCCUUUUUAAGUCACUUGUAAAAUCUCCCCGCUCAACGGGGAAACUGCAAGUGAUACUGAAUUGGUUGAGUCAAGUAGAGGAGAGGGGAAUUCCUGGUGGAGCGGUUAAAUGCGUUGAUAUCAGGAGGAAUACCAAGUGCGAAGGCACCUCUCUGGACUUGUACUGACGCUAAGGCUCGAAAGUGUGGGGAGCAAAACGGAUUAGAUACCCGUGUAGUCCACACUGUAAACGAUCCCUGCUAGAUGUUUGCUUUGUUUUGUAGUUCUACGGCUUGCCGUAGGGUCCACAAACUGAGUGAGUGUCGCAGCUAACGCGUUAAGCAGGGCGCCUGGGGAGUACGGCCGCAAGGCUAAAACUCAAAGGAAUUGACGGGGACCCGCACAAGCAGUGGAGCGCCUGGUUUAAUUCGAUGGUCAGCGAAGAACCUCACCUGGGCUUGAACUGUAGCUGCACACCUUGGGAAACCAGGGGAGCCUUCGAGGGUGCUACAGAGGUGAUGCAUGGCUGUCGUCAGCUCGUGUCGUGAGAUGUAGGGUUAAGUCCCGUAACGAGCGCAACUCUUAUCUGAUGUUAUAAUUUCUUCAGAGACUGCCCCGUUAUAGCGGGGAGGAAGGAGAGGAUGACGUCCAGUCAGCAUGUCCCUUAUGUCCAGGGCUACACAGACGCUACAAUGGCUAUUACAAUGGGCUGCCAAGCCGCGAGGUGGAGCGAAUCCCAUCAAAAAUAGUCUCAGUUCGGAUUGCAGGCUGAAAUUCGCCUGCAUGAAGUCGGAAUUGCUAGUAAUCGCGUAUCAGCAUGGCGCGGUGAAUACGUUCUCGGGUCUUGUACACACCGCCCGUCAGGGCACGGGAGUUGCUCUUGCUCGAAGUUCCCGAAUUAUUCGGGACCGAAAGUUAAGGGCGGCGACCAGGCUUAAGUCGUAACAAGGUAACC